GUCGAGGGGUAUAGUAGCAAUACUAGAGACCGGCGCACGGGUGCGUAACGCGUAUGCAAUCUACCUUUUGCAGAGGGAUAGCCCAGAGAAAUUUGGAUUAAUACCUCAUAGUAUAACGACUCGGCAUCGAGAUGUUAUUAAAGUCACAACGGCAAAAGAUGAGCAUGCGUCCCAUUAGUUAGUUGGUAAGGUAACGGCUUACCAAGACUACGAUGGGUAGGGGUCCUGAGAGGAAGAUCCCCCACACUGGUACUGAGACACGGACCAGACUCCUACGGGAGGCAGCAGUGAGGAAUAUUGGACAAUGGGCGCAAGCCUGAUCCAGCCAUGCCGCGUGCAGGAUGACGGUCCUAUGGAUUGUAAACUGCUUUUGCACAGGAAGAAACAACGCUACGUGUAGCGUCUUGACGGUACUGUGAGAAUAAGGAUCGGCUAACUCCGUGCCAGCAGCCGCGGUAAUACGGAGGAUCCAAGCGUUAUCCGGAAUCAUUGGGUUUAAAGGGUCCGUAGGCGGUCUUAUAAGUCAGUGGUGAAAUCUCCCCGCUCAACGGGGAAACGGCCAUUGAUACUGUAGGACUUGAAUUAUUAGGAAGUAACUAGAAUAUGUAGUGUAGCGGUGAAAUGCUUAGAGAUUACAUGGAAUACCAAUUGCGAAGGCAGGUUACUACUAAUGGAUUGACGCUGAUGGACGAAAGCGUGGGUAGCGAACAGGAUUAGAUACCCUGGUAGUCCACGCCGUAAACGAUGGAUACUAGCUGUUGGGCGCAAG
rnacentral:rRNA from 1 species